AUUGAACGCUGGCGGCAGGCUUAACACAUGCAAGUCGAGCGGGGGAAGGUAGCUUGCUACCGGACCUAGCGGCGGACGGGUGAGUAAUGCUUAGGAAUCUGCCUAUUAGUGGGGGACAACGUUUCGAAAGGAACGCUAAUACCGCAUACGUCCUACGGGAGAAAGCAGGGGAUCUUCGGACCUUGCGCUAAUAGAUGAGCCUAAGUCGGAUUAGCUAGUUGGUGGGGUAAAGGCCUACCAAGGCGACGAUCUGUAGCGGGUCUGAGUGGCUGAUCCGCCACACUGGGACGUAGACACGGCCCAGACUGCUACGGGAGGCAGCAGUGGGGAUUAUUGGACAAUGGGGGGAACCCUGAUCCAGCCAUGCCGCGUGUGUGAAGAAGGCCUUUUGGUUGUAAAGCACUUUAAGCGAGGAGGAGGCUACUAGUAUUAAUACUACUGGAUAGUGGACGUUACUCGCAGAAUAAGCACCGGCUAACUCUGUGCCAGCCGCCGCGGUAACAC
rnacentral:rRNA from 1 species